GCUCGGUCGGUCUUUAACAAUACUGUUGUACGGAUUUGUCGUGUACACUGUACAUCUCUAUCGUGCACAGCUCGAUCAGCUAUUUUGUUCGUCCAUUAAAUUCGUCAUGGCAACGACGGGGGACCGCGGAGCAACCAAUGGUGGUGAUGGGUGCAGCGACAACAUCGGUGACGGCAAAAUGCCCCCUCCCUCUGACUCCAUCGAAGCGUUGUAUGAUGAAAUGCGGAAAAUGAUGCCAAAAAGCCCGCUUCCCCAGCAUUUGUGAGAUUUUGCUCGGCAACUUCUUAAUAACCCGGACAAUGGUUUGGAAAAUUACGACUGGAGCGAAGAAUAAUGAAGACGAAAGAUAUGUUUUUGAUGCAUGUCUACAACAUCAUCUGGAUAAGAGCAAUUGUGGAAGGAAGAAUCGAUGCCUGUAGUUGGAUGUUGAAUAUUUCCAAAUGAAUUAAAAAUAAUAAUAACAAUUAAUAAUGAAGGUAAUGAAUUAGUUAUUGGCUGAUAAUUUUCUUCAAUUACUAAGAGAAUCACUUAAACGCAAAAUUUCCCCCAAUCAAAUAUUUAGUUAAUAUCAUUCAGCUGCCAUUAGAUUUGUUAUAAAGAAAAGAAAAUAUAAACAAAAUUUUCGACGAUGAUAGACUUACUCCGUUAAUGUAACACAAAAUACCAUAAUAGCUCGGCCAUCAAGCAAUGCCUGUAAACUUGCAAAUUCUAUACUAACUCGGACGCAACCUCAGCCGAGCUUCUCUUUGCAAGGACCUCAGUUUUCUCAGUUUUCAAAGACCUCAGUUUUCUACACUAAUAAAUACUACAGCAAUAAAUAAAGAGAAUAACGAAAAUACCUCAGCAUAAGACCGUUGGAAUAAUAUUGAACGAUUGCUCUCCUUAAAUGCGUCAUAUUCUGAAGUCAUUGACCAACAAUAUAUACAUAACAAUGACAGCAAAUUUAAAAUCUCACCCUGCAUUUGAGAUAACACUUCCAACUUAAGAAUUAAUAAUAAUUGUGCUAUGUGUUCAUUUCAUUACCAGCGAGAAGUGAAAUUUAUUAUUUAGAAAUGACAAAGGUAAAUGAAUUGACUGCAAAAAUAGAUAGUUUUCAAUCAUAAAAGAAGUUAAAAGGUUAAAACAAGCUUGGCAACUUUAAACAUUAUUAUGUACACGUAUCUAUAUCAGUAUUCAUUAGAUAUUUUCAAGUUUAUUUUUCAAUACUUUUUUGCGGUCUUUUCGAGUGGCAGAACAGGCCGACGACGAUGGGUGGCUAGGCCCAUGGAGACGACGCCUUCGUUAAAGUCACGGCGCUUCAUCUAUUACAAAUUUCAAUGAUUUCAGAUUGUCAGUAUCAAAUAAAAUAUCGA
rnacentral:lncRNA from 1 species